GAUGAAGAACGUAGCGAAAUGCGAUAAGUAAUGUGAAUUGCAGAAUUCAGUGAAUCAUCGAAUCUUUGAACGCACAUUGCGCCCUCUGGUAUUCCGGGGGGCAUGCCUGUUCGAGCGUCAUUACAACCCUCAAGCUUUGCUUGGUAUUGGACAUUGCCAGUUUCUGGCAGGUCUUAAAAUCAGUGGCGGUGCCAUUUGGCUUCAAGCGUAGUAAUUCUUCUCGCUUUGGAGAUCCAAGUGGUUACUUGCCAAUAACCCCCAAUUUUUUCAGGUUGACCUCGGAUCAGGUAGGGAUACCCGCUGAACUUAAGCAUAUCAAUGCGGAGGA
rnacentral:misc_RNA from 1 species